rnacentral:lncRNA from 1 species
UUAAUAACACUUUGGCUAAUUCGGAGUAGAAGAAUGUCAAAAACAAGGAUCAAAACAGGAGCAUAUUGAAUUCCUACAAGUGACCUAAGUCCUGAAAUUUAUGUUUUUCCUCAACUGUGCACCCUGUUAUCUCACCAUUUUAUAUCUAACCUCAAGCCAGAUCUUUAAUAUAAGUUGUAGUUCCUUGAGUGUGUUCCAACUUUGUUACACUGACCUAGGUCCAAAUCGCAACCGAACUUGCUCAAAAACUUAGUCAAAAUCGGGUAAAAC